rnacentral:rRNA from 1 species
UACGUAGGGAGCAGGCGUUAUCCGGAUCUACUGGGUGUAAAGGGUGCGUAUGCGGCCCUGUAAGUCAGAUGUGAAAUUUAGAGGCUCAACUUCUAAACUGCAUUUGAAACUAUAGGGCUUGAGUGAAGUAGAGGCAGGCGGAAUUCCCUGUGUAGCGGUGAAAUGCGUAGAGAUAGGGAGGAACACCAGUGGCGAAGGCGGCUUGCUGGGCUUUAACUGACGCUGAGGCACGAAAGCGUGGGUAGCAAAC